rnacentral:rRNA from 1 species
AUUGAACGCUGGCGGCAUGCUUUACACAUGUAAGUCGAACGGCAGCACGGGGGCAACCCUGGUGGCGAGUGGCGAACGGGUGAGUAAUAUAUCGGAACAUGUCCGGAAGUGGGGGAUAACGUAGCGAAAGUUACGCUAAUACCGCAUAUGCCCUGAGGGGGACAGGGGGGGAUCGCAAGACCUCUCGCUUUCGGCGUGGCCGAUAUCAGAUUAGCUAGUUGGUGGGGUAAAGGCCUACCAAGGCAACGAUCUGUAGCUGGUCUGAGAGGACGACCAGCCACACUGGGACUGAGACACGGCCCAGACUCCUACGGGAGGCAGCAGUGGGGAAUUUUGGACAAUGGGGGCAACCCUGAUCCAGCCAUGCCGCGUGAGUGAAGAAGGCCUUCGGGUUGUAAAGCUCUUUCGGACAGAAAGAAAUCGUGCAGAAUAAUACUCUGUAUGGAUGACGGUACUGUAAGAAGAAGCACCGGCUAACUACGUGCCAGCAGCCGCCGUAA